AGGCCCUGAAUUAGCUGUUGAGUAAUAAUGCACAAGUAAAUUUGUUGGUAUCAUUGGUGUUUCAGCACGUAGUAGCAUAUUUUGCACCCUUCCAGUGUUAAUGGUUAAUUAUGUGAUUUUGAAAUACUAAAGUUAGUUGGCGUGGAAAUUUUCUCUUCCCUGUGGUAUAAAACCUACUAAAUUGUGUUGUUAUUCCUUGCUUGCAGCUUGUGAUAUAUGUCUGAAAAUGGUAUUUUAUGGGGCUUCAGUAUCUGUUUAGAAAUUGCAUGUUCAUCC
rnacentral:lncRNA from 1 species